GAACGGGCCUCGGGGGAAAUGGAGUCAGGAACAAGAUGGUUGUCAGGAGUAGUGCAGUAUUAUCAUAAGGAGACAUGUACUUGGAAAACGGAGGAGGAAUGGAGGGAGGAGGUAUAAGAGAUGGAGGGUGCUGGACAAGCUGAGUGUGGUGGUGGUGGAGGAGAGGGCUACUGGAGAAGGCUAUAUUUCAGGACCAUGGCUGACUUUAACGACACAAAGUGGUGGAAGCAGUUGAGAGACAUUCACCCCUUCACAGGCCUGCCCAGGCAGACUGAGAGUGUCCUCAGGUUAGACUAACUGCAGGCAGUGCUCAAGUUGUGCUGCCUCUGUUGUUAAGUACAAAACACACAGUAUAUAAAACAUAUGCUACUGUAGUAUUGUCACAACCUACUCAUUGAAACUCAUUGGACCAGGUUCAAUUCAAUUUAAAGUAUUUUGCUCUCCUCUGCCUCAGGAGCCAGCAUGUGACCUGGGAGAUCAGUGUCUGACAAGAGGGGGUUGGAGGGGACUUUGAGCAGAGCUUGGCUGGAUUAUGUCCUUUCAAUUUCAGGUUUCAUUUCAGCAGAAAAGGAUGAUGGAAUGCAUGAUAGAUUAAAUAAUUAAAUCAUUCAGUCAUUAAUUCUCUCAUUCCCUCCCCCUACUCCAUGCAAGAGGACAAGCCUCCUUUUGAUGACGUGGACCCUAACUUCGGCCUCCAUGAUUACAUGCUCCGCAUUAUACUGGACAACACUCUAACCCAGAUAAUGGCCCGGCCACUUCUCUCAACUCUACUGCCGCAAAAGUAAACAAACCACUACCAAGAGAGUUUCUAUUCUAGACCUACUGUAUAUACCUUGGGUACCAGAAUGCAACUGUACCAUACGACAGUCUGUAGUUGACUUUGGUUGGGGUUGUCCAGCUCAGGUCCAUGAUAGUGUCAUCCAGCUGAACGUCAUCAAUAGGGGAAGCCUGUCCCAGCACACGCCUCUCUCUGGCAGAAUCAGUAUGCCCUGGAAGUGUGACGCUCUGGAGGGCACCGUGGAGGUGCACUGACUCCCACUGGUUGAGGUUACACUAUAUAGUAAUAUAUGCUAUUUAGCAGAUGAUUUAUCGAAAGCGGCUUAUUCAUGCGUGCGUACCAAUAGGCCUAGAUGAUGGGGAUAUUGUAAUAACAGAACAGCAGACAUAGACA
rnacentral:lncRNA from 1 species